rnacentral:rRNA from 1 species
UAGCCAGCACCCCGAGUGGUCGGGACGUUUAUUGGGCCUAAAGCAUCCGUAGCCGGUUCUACAAGUCUUCCGUUAAAUCCACCUGCUUAACAGAUGGGCUGCGGAAGAUACUAUGGAGCUAGGAGGCGGGAGAGGCAAGCGGUACUCGAUGGGUAGGGGUAAAAUCCGUUGAUCCAUUGAAGACCACCAGUGGCGAAGGCGGCUUGCCAGAACGCGCUCGACGGUGAGGGAGUGAAAGCUGGGG